rnacentral:rRNA from 1 species
GACGAACGCUGGCGGCGUGCCUAAUACAUGCAAGUAGAACGCACAGUUUAUACCGUAGCUUGCUACACCAUAGACUGUGAGUUGCGAACGGGUGAGUAACGCGUAGGUAACCUGCCUGGCAGCGGGGGAUAACUAUUGGAAACGAUAGCUAAUACCGCAUAAUAUUAAUUAUUGCAUGAUAAUUAAUUGAAAGGUGCAAUUGCACCACUACCAGAUGGACCUGCGUUGUAUUAGCUAGUAGGUGAGGUAACGGCUCACCUAGGCGACGAUACAUAGCCGACCUGAGAGGGUGAUCGGCCACACUGGGACUGAGACACGGCCCAGACUCCUACGGGAGGCAGCAGUAGGGAAUCUUCGGCAAUAGACGAAAGUCUGACCGAGCAACGCCGCGUGAGUGAAGAAGGUUUUCGGAUCGUAAAGCUCUGUUGUAAGAGAAGAACGGGUGUGAGAGUGGAAAGUUCACACUGUGACGGUAUCUUACCAGAAAGGGACGGCUAACUACGUG